rnacentral:rRNA from 1 species
AUACGGAGGGUGCAAGCGUUAAUCGGAAUUACUGGGCGUAAAGCGUACGUAGGCGGCAAGUUAAGUUAGAUGUGAAAGCCCCGGGCUCAACCUGGGAACUGCAUUUAAAACUGGCUUGCUAGAGUUGAGUAGAGGGGAGUGGAAUUUCAGGUGUAGCGGUGAAAUGCGUAGAGAUCUGAAGGAACACCAGUGGCGAAGGCGACUCCCUGGACUCGAACUGACGCUGAGGUACGAAAGCGUGGGUAGCAAACAGGAUUAGAAACCCUAGUAGUCC